rnacentral:rRNA from 1 species
AUUGAACGCUGGCGGCAUGCCUUACACGUGCAAGUCGAACGGCAGCACGGGAGCAAUCCUGGUGGCGAGUGGCGAACGGGUGAGUAAAGUAUCGGAACGUGCCCAGUCGUGGGGGAUAACGUAGCGAAAGUUACGCUAAUACCGCAUACGAUCUAUGGAUGAAAGCGGGGGAUCGCAAGACCACGCGCGAUUGGCGCGGCAGAUAUCAGAUUAGGUAGUUGGUGGGGUAAAGGCUCACCAAGCCGACGAUCUGUAGCUGGUCUGAGAGGACGACCAGUCACACUGGGACUGAGACACGGCCCAGACUCCUACGGGAGGCAGCAGUGGGGAAUUUUGGACAAUGGGCGAAAGCCUGAUCCAGCCAUGCCGCGUGCAGGAUGAAGGCCUUCGGGUUGUAAACUGCUUUUGUACGGAACGAAAAGGUUUGGCCUAAUAAGCUGAGCUCAUGACGGUACCGUAAGAAUAAGCACCGGCUAACUACGUACCAGCCGCCGCGGUAAAAC